rnacentral:tRNA from 3 species
CGCGGGGUAGAGCAGUCUGGUAGCUCGCAAGGCUCAUAACCUUGAGGUCACAGGUUCAAAUCCUGUCUCCGCAA